rnacentral:sRNA from 1 species
AUAACCCUCUGCUGCAGAAUACCCUGAUGCGACAGAAGUCUCUCUAGAGUUUGGAAACCUUUACCAACAAAGAAAAAUUCUGAUGUAUUCUCUUUCAGUUGAACGUCCUCAGAUGACUUUCGGCAGGCUCCAGGGAAUCUCCCCGAAGAUCAUGCCCAAGAAGCCAGCAGAGGAAGGAAAUGUUUCGAAGGAAGUGCCAGAAGCAUCUGGCCCACAAAACGAUGGGAAACAGCUGUGCCCCCCGGGAAAACCAACUACCUCUGAGAAGAUUAACAUGAUAUCUGGACCCAAAAGGCGGGAACAUGCCUGGACCCACAGACUGCGUGAGAGAAAGCAGCUGGUGAUUUAUGAAGAGAUCAGCGACCCUGAGGAAGAUGAUGAGUAACUCCCCUCGGGGAUAUGACACAUGCCCAUGAUGAGAAGCAGAACGUGGUGACCUUUCACGAACAUGGGCAUGGCUGCGGACCCCUCGUCAUCAGGUGCAUAGCAAGUGAAAGCAAGUGUUCACAACAGUGAAAAGUUGAGCGUCAUUUUUCUUAGUGUGCCAAGAGUACGAUAUUAGCAUUUCCGUUGUAUUUUCUUGCAGUGUGUCAUUCUGUUAGAUAUUAACAUUUUCACUGAUGAGCAAGACAUACUUAAUGCAUAUUUUGGUUUGUGUAUCCAUGCACCUACCUUAGAAAAGAAGUAUUGUCAGUUACCUCUGCAUGGAACAGCAUUACCCUCCUUUCUCCCCAGAUGUGACUACUGAGGGCAGUUCUGAGUGUUUAAUUUCAGAUUUUUUCCUCUGCAUUUACACACA